UACGGGGGAGCAAGCGUUGUUCGGAUUUACUGGGCGUAAAGGGCGCGUAGGCGGCCACCGCAAGUCGGUUGUGAAAUCUCCGGGCUUAACCCGGAAAGGUCAAUCGAUACUGCGGGGCUAGAGUGCAGAAGGGGCAACUGGAAUUCUCGGUGUAGCGGUGAAAUGCGUAGAUAUCGAGAGGAACACCUGCGGCGAAGGCGGGUGCUGGGCUGACACUGACGCUGAAGCGCGAAAGCGUGGGGAGCGAACAGG
rnacentral:rRNA from 1 species